CGGCCCCAUCCAUUCCUCGCCGGCUCCCUCCCUCGGCAACCACCUCCCCUUGGGGCUUCCAAGAUCGGGAGGGAGGAUCGGAGCCUUAGCUAGCCACCUCCCCGAUCCCCUUUCUCUCGUUCUUCUUUCCCUCUCCUAGAUCACCUCGCUAGGGCUUCUCCCCCUCCCCGAUCUAGCAGCCGCAGCGGCCAGCGAGGAGCAGCACCAGCAAUGGCAUCCGGCGGUGGCGCGCUUGGAGCAUGGACAUCGACAGGGAGGAGGUCAAGGUCUAGAUCUGAAGCAGUGCGAGCCACUGCUGGAGGCGGAGUUGAAUGUGCUCUGCCUCAUGGCCAUGGAGAGCAACGUCCACCGCAUCGAACCCCGGCCCAUCAAGAUACGUGAAGAACCACCAUCAUAUUCAACAUCUGUCCUACAGAAGUGUGAGUCGUUUGACAACCCCCAUGUGGGUGUGCGAGUCGAAGUUCUGGAUCACACGAGGAUACUGAUAAGAGUUCCAGUUUCGGGAAUCCUCAAUCCGGGAAAGCAUUGUAUGACUUCACAAGGCGGCGAUGAUGAGCUGAGUUUGAACUCUCGAGAAGAUGUCGAUCGAAUAUGAGGUUGAUGGUUGGUACUACGUAAAGAAAAAAGAGAUCUAGAAGGGAUGGGAAGAUAGCAGGUCUGGUGCCUGCUUUGGGUAUGUGAGCUCGUGAUAGCAAUGAACCUUGUGACAUACUACUCUGAGAGCUGUUUCUAUUGAAUUUGGUAACAAAUGUGGUAUCAAUAAUGAAGUAGUUAUAAGAGCAUGUGGUCAAGUAGAAUCACGGUCAACUUCAGGAACGGCUGUCGCAGAUGGGUAAAGCUACAAAUUGCUCUGAAACAUGCUUAACUCAGACUAUUCUAGCGUUGGAGUUGUGGCCGGCUGGCCGCUGCCGCAUCGUUCCAGGCGAACAAGCCGAUGGUGAUCAACGACAUGUAGGUGGCACCUCAGCAGGCCGGCGAGGUCCGCAUUAAGAUCGUCUUCACCAAGCUCUGCCACACCAAGAGGUCCAUGGCGAGGUGGUGGGUUUUGGUAUCUGCAGGCUGAAAGGAUCUUGCUCGUGGAACCUCUUUCAGAACUGUUGGCUAUAAAACUGAAGUAAUCUCUAUCAUGUGUUGCAGAUUCGGCCAUCUAUCAUUUUCUUUGUGCUUGUUCACAUCUGAUUUGUAUGUAGGUGUGCAAACAGGCUAUGGGUUGUAUUCGUUAGUUCACAAGAGGUAUUACAGAAGACUAUUGUGUUUGUGCUGAUGCCUAGAUCAGGUACUUCCAAUACAUUAUUGGUUUGCAGACUGUAAGUACACAUGUUUGUUAAGCCUGUAGAAGUGUAAAACUUCAGAAGAGGGUGAGUGCAUACAGAUGGAAGCGUCAUAUCCAAUGUUGACUUGCUAUGUUGCUUGGACCAUAUAUAUAAAUUUGUUCUUGCUGAUUCAGCAAUGGUGCAUAGAGGUGGUCCAAAUUUACUCCAAUCCUUCCUCAAUGUAUACUGAUGGCGGGCAGAUUAGUUCAGGGAAGUGGUGAUUCCAGUGAUGCUCACGUCAAGGACAUAUUGGAUAAGGGGACUGUUGGGAAGAGUGACAACGGAUUGAGGAUGAAUUCAGGUGGUGAUGCAUAUGCUGAAUCUAUUUUACUACUUCAGAGAGCGCAGUAAUCUCUUGAGAAUGCAGGGGAGCUCUGAAGCUGCUCCCGGGAGUGCAUCCAUGGCAGUUUUUCUUCUGCCAUCCAAGAUGGUCGAAGGGCGACCACUCCCACCCUCUUCGUCGGCCACGGUUCUCUCCGGCCGACGAUUGAAGGCGAAGAACAACCUCUAGGCUGCCAUGCCAAGGGUGUCCAGGUUUGAGAAGCUCUCGUCCGGAUGAUGCAGUGAAUCUUGGCUUCCAUCUUCUCCUGGAGAAGUUGAUAAAGAUCAGGUUGUUGAUACUUUGAAUUGCACAUCUCCACACCCUUGUCCUGCCGAGAGCUUCCAGCUCAAGUAUUCUUGAAUCUUUCUCGUUGAUCAGUGUUGAUGCAGUUUUGACUCGAGAUCCUUUCCCUUUCCCUCCACCAUAGGUUCCUCAAGGUGGAGCAACUCGCUCCAUCCAUCAUCAUGUGCAUCAAAAUCAUCAGUUGAUUCCUUCCUGACCACCACAGAGUUUUGAAUCUUUGCAAUACACAACGGAGCAAUGAUUAGCAUAGGAGCCCUUCUGUAGAGGUAAUUUUCUUCUUUUAACAGAAGAGGUCCCAAAAGGACCUAGAAGCUUUCAUUCAUAGCGGUGGUGCAACAAAUACAAGAAGAACCAUUAAAAGUCGAAAUUACAAAUAGGUCCAGACAAUAUACGUAGAGGACCCUAGAUCUAGAUCUGGAAAUGCCAUCAGAUCCAGCUCCUUCACCACCGCGUCGGAGCACCACGGCACAGCCAAAUGCACCUACAUCGGGGACAGAACCACUUGGGGCGAAGCAUCGGGAGCUAACUGUAUAGGAGCAGAGGGGCCUCCAUCUUGGCCGGUGACCGAAGAGCUCUCUAUGAGCAGCAGGAAUAUCUGCUCAGUGACUACAAGCAGCUCGAAUUCAAACUAAGUCAAUCAGAGAACCGGGCAGCGAUACUAGGAGAGAUGGUAGAGAAUUUGGAGGCACAAGCCAAAAGAGCUCUCAGCGAGUCUUAAUUUUAUUUUUGGUUCUCUUCUAACAUUUUUAUGAUCUUUUUUUUUACCUUGUUGGAGUACAGUUGCUAAAUAGUUAAAAUUUGAUUAGUUUGAUAUGUGGAAUUCAGUGACGCAAAUAUAAGUUAUCUCAAUUUUUUUACCAAAUGAUGUGUUUAUUGGACUGAGUCAUAAUGGAACACUUAG